UGGGGAAUAUUGCGCAAUGGGCGAAAGCCUGACGCAGCGACGCCGCGUGAGGGACGACGGCCUUCGGGUUGUAAACCUCUUUCAGUAGGAACGAAUCAAGACGGUACCUGCAGAAGAAGCACCGGCCAACUACGUGCCAGCAGCCGCGGUAAUACGUAGGGUGCAAGCGUUGUCCGGAAUUAUUGGGCGUAAAGAGCUCGUAGGCGGUCUGUCGCGUCGAAUGUGAAAACCCGGGGCUCAACCCCGGGCCUGCAUUCGAUACGGGCAGACUAGAGUUCGGUAGGGGAGUCUGGAAUUCCUGGUGUAGCGGUGAAAUGCGCAGAUAUCAGGAGGAACACCGGUGGCGAAGGCGGGACUCUGGGCCGAUACUGACGCUGAGGAGCGAAAGCGUGGGGAGCGAACAG
rnacentral:rRNA from 1 species